rnacentral:lncRNA from 1 species
AUCCAAAUCCCUAGAAUCUAUAAAUCUGUUGGUUUACGUGACAGAGGAAAAUGAACGUUGCAGAUGGAAUUAAGGUUGCAGUGUGAGACCUAACUAACUCCAUUUUAAAGUUUGACUCCAUCUUAAAAUAAGACAGUGAAGUGGCCUUGACAUAAAUUCUACUUUACUGAAAUCAGCUAUUCCCCUAGUCUCCUUUGUGCCCAUAAAAUAAUGAUAAAAUGUCCUUGCUGUGGGACAACAGAUAAAAAAAGACACAGCUCCUAACUCAAUCCUCUGUCUGUCCAAAAAACAGAUGCUCCCGGAUCUAUAGAACAUUCUGUCAAUGUGCUGAUUGUUCCUUUUUCCCAUAAACUCUACAUGUAGCCACCCCUCAACCCCCCAUGCUUGCUAAAUAUCAACCAAUCAUGUUACUGCUAAAUGGAACAUUCCCCAAACCUUUCAGUAGCCACAAUAAAAACCCUGCUGAUUUGAAAUUCAGGGCUCUCAAUCCUGAUCCACUGCGUCGGUGACAGUUGAGUGCCCCUGCUCGAGCUUGAAUGAACGACCCUCGUGUGUUUACAUCGGGAUCAGCUCCUUGAUGGUCUUUGGGGACUUCGCGAUCUGGGCACAACAUUUGGGGGCUCGUCUGGGAUCCCCAAGACCCUCAGGAUUCCUGUACCGGAGGGUGGAUGCUGGCUGAAGCAGCCGCCUGCGGCAGUCCUAGCAGUGUGCAAAAAAACCACCAGAGGAGACUGCCGGAGAGGAGAAACCAAAACAAAACCCACGGCGCCGCUUUACCCAGUUCUCCAAGGAGGAACUGAAGAAGAUCUCCUUUUCCCCCCCUCCCCACCACCCGCACCCCGCUCCUCCACUCCCUCUGACCCCAACGGGGGUGGAGGGAAGAGCGUGGGCAGGGUUGGAGGGAGGAGCCCCGGCGGAGGCCGGGGAGAAAAUACAUGGCCGGGCGGACAUUGCUAGAGGAGAUGGCCCCGCCCAAAACACCCGCAACCACACGCAGCCUCGCCGGUGGCGGGGCCAGCAGAUUCCACUGUCUUCCCGUUGAGGGCGACUCGACCCCCUGAUGAACAUGGCAAUCAGCCU